CAGCAGCCGCGGGAAUACGUAGGUGGCAAGCGUUGUCCGGAAUUAUUGGGCGUAAAAGGCUCGCAGGCGGUUUCUUAAGUCUGAUGUGAAAGCCCCCGGCUCAACCGGGGAGGGUCAUUGGAAACUGGGAAACUUGAGUGCAGAAGAGGAGAGUGGAAUUCCACGUGUAGCGGUGAAAUGCGUAGAGAUGUGGAGGAACACCAGUGGCGAAGGCGACUCUCUGGUCUGUAACUGACGCUGAGGAGCGAAAGCAUGGGGAGCGAACAGGAUUAGAUACCCCAGUAGUCCCUGUCUCUUAUAC
rnacentral:rRNA from 1 species